rnacentral:rRNA from 1 species
GACGAACGCUGGCGGCGUGCCUAACACAUGCAAGUCGAGCGGGGUUGAGGCGAGAGGUAACUCGAACUUCUACCUAGCGGCGGACGGGUGAGUAACGCGUGGGCAACCUGCCUCAAGGUUUGGGAUAACAGCCCGAAAGAGUCGCUAAUACCGGAUAAUGUCUUGGUGCUGCAUGGCACCGGGAAGAAAGGGGAAACCCGCUUUCAGAUGGGCCCGCGCCCCAUCAGUUAGUUGGUAAGGUAACGGCUUACCAAGGCGACGACGGGUAGCCGGUCUGAGAGGACGAUCGGCCACACUGGGACUGAGAUACGGCCCAGACUCCUACAGGAGGCAGCAGUUGGGAAUCUUAGGCAAUGGGCGAAAGCCUGACCUAGCGACGCCGCGUGAGGGAAGAAGGCCUUCGGGUCGUAAACCUCUGUCAUGGGGGACGAAGAAAGUGACGGUACCCCAGGAGGAAGCCCCUGCUAACUACGUG